rnacentral:tRNA from 1 species
GCCCAUAUAGCUCAGUUGGUAGAGCGCUUCCAUGGUAAGGAAGAGGUCUUCGAUUCGAAUUCGAAUGUGGGCA